rnacentral:rRNA from 1 species
GGAGGAUGCAAGCGUUAUCCGGAUUUAUUAGGUUUAAAGGGUGUGUAGGCGGACUAUUAAGUCAGUGGUGAAAUCUCUCGGCUCAACCGGGAAACUGCCAUUGAUACUGAUCGUCUUGAGUACAGUUGAAGUAGGCGGAAUGUGUAAUGUAGCGGUGAAAUGCUUAGAUAUUACACAGAACACCGAUUGCGAAGGCAGCUUACUAAGCUGUUACUGACGCUGAUGCACGAAAGCGUGGGGAGCGAACAGGAUUAGAUACCCUGGUAGUCCCACGCCCGUAAACGAUGAUUACUCGUUGUUGGCGAUAUAUUGUCAGCGACUGAGCGAAAGCAUUAAGUAAUCCACCUGGGGAGUACGUCGGCAACGAUG